rnacentral:rRNA from 1 species
UUGGUGCCUUCGGGAACUCUGAGACAGGUGCUGCAUGGCUGUCGUCAGCUCGUGUUGUGAAAUGUUGGGUUAAGUCCCGCAACGAGCGCAACCCUUAUCCUUUGUUGCCAGCGGUUAGGCCGGGAACUCAAAGGAGACUGCCAGUGAUAAACUGGAGGAAGGUGGGGAUGACGUCAAGUCAUCAUGGCCCUUACGAGUAGGGCUACACACGUGCUACAAUGGCGCAUACAAAGUGAGCCAGCU